rnacentral:rRNA from 1 species
GUGGGGAAUCUUGCGCAAUGGGCGAAAGCCUGACGCAGCCAUGCCGCGUGAAUGAUGAAGGUCUUAGGAUUGUAAAAUUCUUUCACCGGGGACGAUAAUGACGGUACCCGGAGAAGAAGCCCCGGCUAACUUCGUGCCAGCAGCCGCGGUAAUACGAAGGGGGCUAGCGUUGCUCGGAAUUACUGGGCGUAAAGGGCGCGUAGGCAGACAGUUUAGUCAGAGGUGAAAGCCCAGGGCUCAACCUUGGAAUUGCCUUUGAUACUGGCUGUAUUAAGUACGGGAGAGGUAAGUAGCACUCCGAGUGUAGAGGUGAAAUACGUAGAUAGUCGGAAGAACUCCAGUGGCGAAGGCGACACACUGGCUCCUUACUGACGCUGAGGAGCGAAAGCGUGGGGAGCAAACUGGAUUAGAAACCCGUGUAGUCC